CAGCAGCCGCGGGAAUACAGAGGGUGCGAGCGUUAAUCGGAUUUACUGGGCGUAAAGCGUGCGUAGGCGGCUUCUUAAGUCGGAUGUGAAAUCCCUGAGCUUAACUUAGGAAUUGCAUUCGAUACUGGGAAGCUAGAGUAUGGGAGAGGAUGGUAGAAUUCCAUGUGUAGCGGUGAAAUGCGUAGAGAUCUGGAGGAAUACCGAUGGCGAAGGCAGCCAUCUGGCCUAAUACUGACGCUGAGGUACGAAAGCAUGGGGAGCAAACAGGAUUAGAUACCCGAGUAGUCCCUGUCUCUUAUAC
rnacentral:rRNA from 1 species